rnacentral:rRNA from 1 species
CCCCGGCGCCACAAGUGGCAAUCGCGUUUACUGGGUCUAAAGCGUUCGUAGCCGGUUCUGUAAGUCUUUUGUGAAAUUGUUGCCCUAAAUGCAACAGCGGGCAAAAGAUACUGCUGGACUUGGGACUGGGAGGAGUUAGGAGUAUGCCGAGGGGAGCGGUAAAAUGUUAUAAUCCUCGGUAGACUACCUGUGGCGGAGGCGCCUAACUAGAACAGAUCCGACGGUGAGGAACGAAAGCUAGGGGA